UACGUAGGGGGCUAGCGUUGUCCGGAUUUAUUGGGCGUAAAGAGCGUGUAGGCGGCCAGGUAGGUCUGGUGUGAAAACUCGAGGCUUAACCUCGAGAUGUCAUCGGAAACCAUUUGGCUAGAGUCCGGAAGAGGAGAGUGGAGUUCCUGGUGUAGCGGUGAAAUGCGCAGAUAUCAGGAAGAACACCAAUGGCGAAAGCAGCUCUCUGGGCAUGUCCUGACGCUGAGGAGCGAAAGUGUGGGGAGCGAACAGG
rnacentral:rRNA from 1 species